CUCAGUUCUUGUAUUGUGGGUACUGUAAGAUAUUUUGCACUCAAGAACAAAAUUUCCAUGUAGCUUUAAAAGAUGAAGGGAGAUGAGACAAAACAGUCCAAAAGUACAUCUUGCUCUUAGAGGGCUACCUUAAGGUAUAAGAAGAGAUGGUACCCAUGCUGUCCUGCCUUUGUUGACUCCAAGAUAUCUUAGUAUUUUAUUUUAUAUUGUUUUUAAGUGUGCUUGCUUCUACUUCUGUGCUAGAAGUUUCCACUGAGGGUUGAGAGUGAUGCCUCCAGGGGAAGGUGAGGGAAUUGAAGACCAGUUCACAGUGAGAUGAUGUCCUGAGCAGAGUGCUAACCAGGAAUACCCUCUGCAGGAAUGCUGGGCUGAUUUAAGGGUCAAUGUGGGGAGAUGAAGAGCAAUUACUACUGGGCUACGAAGAAGGAAUGUACAGCGUACAAGUACUGAGUGGGAUGAACCGUUGCUGAUUCAGGCCCAUGGCUGCUGUGCAUGUGACAAAUGAACAGCAGCUGGAAGGCAGAGGGUUUUAUCUGGAAAAGGCUGAGCAUUAUGGAAGAGAAAUGCUCGCUGGUGGUUAUGAGAGAAAAACACUCCAAAAAAAAAAAAAAAUUCUGCAGUUGAUUUAUAUUUCUAUUAUGGGCUUAUCCUGUUAGCUUGUUCUUAGAGAAGAGCUGUUCCCUGAGGUACCAUUUAUCCAUUUUAGAAACUCUCCUCCCCCGAGAAGUUUGCAACAGUGGAAAGAACAAAAGUUGGGGAUGUUUGAAGAAGAAAUUUGGCAAAAGCAACCGAAUGGCUGGAUCCAAAGGGGAAUGAAAAGGCUGACUCUUCUGGGGUGCUACCACUUAGCAUGAAUACAGACAGAGAGACUUUGCGAUGAUCUCAAAUGGCCAUUUUAGAGUAUUUUUUCUCUAACUUGUGUUAAGGAUGAGUGUCGUGGGGAAAGGUAUGUGAUGGUGUAAUAGCUGUCCAUGUCAUGGAAGGCUGGAUGGCUACAAGCAAUGAAAUUUGAAAUCAAUCCCAAAUCCUGCCGAGUCCAGGAGACCUUCACACCCAUGAAGGCACCACUGCUGAGUCAGGCCAAUGGCUGCGUGCACACCCAAGAAAUACACACGUGCUGAUAGAAAACAGAUUUAAAAGUACCUAAAAUAAUAGCUUUUUAAGACAGUCUUACGAUCACAUAACUUGUUGGAAAAAGCAUACCAUGGCUCACAAUCUGAAUUAAACAUUGUCAUUGUGGUAUAGAAGAAGGUGCAUGCUCAGGAGUUGCUAUCUGACUGAGUUGCUGAAGACAGCGAGUCACUGACAGAGGAGUAGGAAUUAUCAAAAGAGAAGUGUCUGCCACCCUGUUUCUUUUGUGCUAACCACCAACAGCUGGAGACCAGGCCAAAGAGAGGCAAGAGAAGCACGUCUCAAGGAAGCAUGUGCUUAAGCACGAAGAUGAACAAAGCUUCCAGGGCUAUUCAAAUCAGCUCUGGCUAUACCAAGUCCAUGCCUAUCCAUUAUACUUUCCAUAUAUUUUAAUAAAUUCAAAGAGAGCUGCUGAGAUUAAAGGGAAGAGCUUUGUGGUGGACAACUCGAAAUGAACAGGCUCUUCCUGCUGUGCAAGGCAGCGACUUGCUGAAGAUGGAGCCUGCACAUCAAAGGAGAGGAUCAUAAGGAUUCUGCCAGGUUUUAAUGCAACAUACCGGCUAUUUUGACUUGGUCGUCUUCUAAUCAAACUGGAGAUGUUUAGCUAGAAACUCCUUUCCCUGUUAUUUCAAACAUAGCCCAAGCACAGCUCCAGUGUCUGCUGAGGAUAGGUUGGGCAUGGAUGGGAGAGAGCUGACCCUACCUCGAUUUGUUGUGUUCCUUCCUUAUCUGCCCAUUCUAAUGGAAGUCUGCCACACAUCAUGGAUGCAAAGUGUGGAGCAUCAGAUGUUCACAGCUUCCCAUUGUGAAGUGAAGGUGUUGGGACCACUUUGUCUUCAGGACUGGACCAACGCUUUAACUACAAGAAAGUGUCAGAUAUGCGGGAUGAUGAUGCAUGGAAAGAAGAAAAACAUUCCUGAGUCAUCCUGUUUCCUGAGCAUAAGGAGGCACAAGAUAGUAAGUGUUGGAUUUUCAUCCUACCUUUACAUUCUGUGAUGGGGCACCAUUGCAAGCUCUCCUUACAAAGCUUUGAGCAGAGAGAUUAUCAGAACCAUGAGGUUUGUGGUGUAUUCACAACGGAACAGGCAGCUUAAAAAAGGAUGUACUAUUUGAUCAGCAGUUUCCUGCAUAUGGAAAUCUUAGGUCACCUUGCUGUUCCUUGAUGUCUAAAAUCUGCUAUCAGGCUUCUGCAAGGAAAUAUAGAUUAGUAUUCAGUGCCUUGUAGUAUUCUUUUAUUAAUAUUACUAUUUUUCAAUUUUAAGGACAAAAACAGCAGAACAGUGCUGUGAUGACAAGAAGCUGAGUGCUGAGCCCACGCAGGGCACUGGGGAGGGUCACUGGGAGUGAGUCAGGUUGAUGUCUGCUGAGAUGGUUUUGUUUGCAGUGUUUUCACACGUGUAUUCAAUAAGGCUUUUGUUUUACUGAAAGGAAGAGACACUAUACAGCAUUAUCCCGAUUUUGAAGUGACAGUGCCAAGGGGACUUCAGUAAAGGAUUUGAUGGCAAUUGAAUCUGAAAAGUAAAGCUUUGUAAUUGCUUAGUUAGUUUUGAAGUAAUGCUUAUAUUUAAGAUUUAUGUACAAAAACAGGCUAUAUCAACAGUAGUGAAGUGGUUUUGGGCCAAGUCUUUUUUAAAGCAACUUAUGAACAGAAGGUCAUUUCAGAUUUCUUUCUUCUCCUGAAAAGACACAAACACAAAUCCCACCUCGCUGUGUUCGUAUAAUAUGUAAUACAUCAUUAUGCUGCAUUUAGUAAGUGCUUGUACUUCCACAAGAAUAUCUGAGCUUUACUCUUGAUUAUAGUAAACUUCCCAAUGCAAGUAAAAGCAAUUAUUAUCCUCAGAGUUUCAGUGACCUGUUAGGAAGACAUAAGCUGUUACAAGACUUCUGAAGGCUCAUCUUACAGUCUGUAAAUCCCACCUUAAAAAUACAUAAUUUGGAGACUAUUGAGUCCUCUGAUGAUACUAUGGUAUUGAAUCAUCUUUAUAUAAUUGUGCUGGUGAAUAUAAAGUAUCAUUGUUUUCAGCAUCUUUCAUGAAAGCUGUUUUGACCUUCAGAUUAAAGGAUCCAUAUGGAUUUCCAAAUGAAAAAGUUGGAGCUCCUGUUUAAAACUUGAACUCCAGCUCGGCAUGAAGGCAUCAGAUGUGCUUCCACUUGAAAAAGCGUUGUUGUACCAGCAUAUAUCCCGCCUGAAUUUUUCUCCUGGGUAAAAUCUUAUAAAUGUGUGUAUCGUGCAUAAUGAGGAUUGGAGGUUAGCCGCUUCCAGUGAAUUCCCUUUCAAAGUGUAAGGAAGAUGCAGAGCAGCAAGGAGGAGAAAUCCAUUGGUAUUUGAGCUCUGUAGGAUGAAGAGGUUUGCUGCUGGGGGAAGAUCAAGAGGAGGCAGUAGGAAUAUUUUGGGCACUUCUGAAGGAGAGAUGGAGACCAUCUGGUAGAGAGGAUGCUUAAAGGAAAAGUGCCAGGACAGAGAUAAAAGUAAAGGGAAAGGAAAUAGUGACUGAGUAACAUCAAAGAGUGAGGCUGACUAUAGAGCAAAAAGGAAGACAUAGCAGUGACCCAACAUAGGCAAAUCAUAAUACAAAUGGUGGCACUGGGCGACGAAUCCAUAUGAAUCGGUGAAGGCUCGGGGGAAAAGCUCAGCAUUUUAAUUUCAGGAAAGUCUACAGGAAAGUGGUGUUGACAUCUUUGGAAGGCUUAUAAUUUAAAACUGAUGCAGUAAGCAGGGUUCCCGCUGCUUCAGAAAUACUGUCCUGGAGUCUAAUCCAGAUACUGUAACUACAGCAGAAUUUUAAAUGGAGAGAUGCCAAGAAGAAUGUUUCUUCCCUCAUCGGCAUCAGCAUCUUUUCAUUUGAAUGACUUUUAGGGCAUUAGAUGUUUCCGUUGAACUGCUUUCUAAGGCUCGUGUCCUGAAGCAUUGGUUGGUGUGUGGUCCUUCCCUGUGUUGAGCUGGAGCCGAUCUCAUGUAAAGAAAGGAAGAUGCUGGUUUUGCUUUUCUCCUGCUGAAGGAGAAUAACUUUGGGCCAGUCCCUUUCUCCUGCCAAAGUCUGAAAAACUUUUCUGUCAUUGGAAUUCCACUGAGAGUGGAGCAGUGGUAAGCCCCGUGGCUUCUAUGGGUAGAGCAGUACAGGCUAAGAGAGUCUGAUCAUCUCUUGUGCUUUGUUUUACGCCCAACCCUAAACAUGGUGAGUCAGGACAGGCGAUGGGCCUAAUUAUAAAGACUGUCUGUGCUCCUGCCUCUCUUACUCCUUCCCAUCUGUAUUUAGGAGGACUUUCUGCAUCCUAGGGGAACCGUGCUUUAGGAGGAUUUGAGAUCAAGGCCUGAAAUAAUCUCAUGGUUUUCUUCCUGCCUGCCUUUCUUUCCUUCUUAACAAAACAGGUGUGUUACUUUUUUUACUGAAGUCGGUCCAAGGAAAGGAAAAGAAGAAAGUACUUCCAGAGGGUAAUUAGUCCCAUCUUAAAACAAGUGUGUAAGACAGGUAGGAUAAGUCUCUCUCUGAAAGUGCCAAUCUGUCACCACUAUCUAUAGAAGGAGCCUUCACGAGUAGCUUAGAGUAGGUGUUUGACUUUUACACAGUUAAAUUUAGAGGAGAUGAUUGCCACUUUUUAAGUCAGUCAAAGUGCUUGUUUAUAAUUGAUUAACCAUUAUAGACUGAAGAGUUGUGAGAGAGAACAAAAGUAAAAAUAUAAUGCCAUUGAUAGAGAUAUCGUGUAAUACGGAAUAGCAGUAACAGCAAUUGCAGAUGGUUAACAUUUUCAUUCCCCAUUGUUUUUAUUUUACUGUUAAAUCUUCCCAGAUUUUAGGUCUUGUUUGAUCCUGUAGAAGGAAAAAAUUUCCCCUGCUUUAGUGUAAGCAAAAAACUGCUGAAAUAUUUGUAGGAUUAAGAAGUGAUUUGUCCUGGAAAUGUCAAUUCUUAUAUGUAGGGUCAUUAAUCCAUAAAAUGAAUUUGCAAACAUUUCUAAGUUCCCUUUCGUGUUGUUGGUGUUUUACUUGACAUGCUUCUGACUGCUCUCUCAAUGAAGGCUGCACUCAGAAGAUCCUGCAAGGCGUACACUGACAGUGUGUGGGACUUGGUUUUGCAUGUGUCUUGACCUGGCAUAUACAGUCUGUUACAAUGAAAUAAACUCACUUGUCAUUUAAGAGUAUUAAUCAUAUUUCAGGCUGUUGCCCAAGAAUUUCAUUGUGUACAAUGCUUUCACCAGCCAGAACCAUACUGCAGAAAGUAAAUAGAUAAAAUCACUUUCUCUAGUAAAAAUAAUUCUUGACUACAGCCUCGCUUGCAGAGUAGAUAAUGCUUGUAGAAAUGGCAGAUGCUCUGAAGGUUUGGAGUAUUGUGACAAUAAGAAUUUUAAACAAAGUUGGAAAAAGCAGAUGGUAUAUAUGGACGGGAAAUCCUGUGGUAGUUUUGAUUUUAUGCAAGGAAAAGAAGGAGUUCCUUAGGUCCAUAAAUCUGUUUGUUUGCAGUACUCAAACAGAGAUUUUCAUGAUCUUAGCUUUCCUUUCUUCAAAACGUUGCUUUCAAGUACAGAUGGGCCUAUAUACCACAAGUUUGGGAUCCAGAUUGGGGCUUGGACCUGACAUUCAUCAGAGCAUAAGCAUAUUUGAACCUAGCAUUUGAGGUCAGCCUCUUGUGGAGUUAACCACCUACUGAUUGAGUAGAUCUCUCCUAUAUGUCAAGGCAUAGGUGUAGAAAGUACAAUGAUUUUAUUUAACUUGAUCUGUAAGGUAUUUAAAUUUAAUUUGGAAGACUUCUCAUGAAGCAGGAGGCUGUAUUUAUAAUUAUUAUUGUGUCUGAAGGGUGAAAUUACAUAUGACAAUUAAAUAUGGUGGAUAUUAUAAUAAGAUACAUGCUUAAAGUGGUUUCCAAUCUAAAUGUGUUUGAAGUCAAUAGGAGUACCUACGGCAAAGUAUUCGGAUCCUGAUUUAUAAUCUACCACUUUUACCCCAGUAUGGUUAUUUAUGGAUAAAUUGACCUGUUCCUAGAAUAGAAUAUGAUAUGUUAGUAAAACUGUACGCCUAGGUGUGGAAAGACAAUUAGCCUAUAAACACACUGACUUCCUCUUUAGGUUGAGAACACCUCAUAUUUCCAAGACUAAUGGUUUCUAAUCUGUUUUUAAAUGUUCCAUUUGGAUAGUGAAGGCGUAACUAUCAAAACACUGUAAAAUCAUAAUGCCUGUGCAGCUAUAAAUUACUGUUUUCAAAAUGAGCUGGAGGUCUCCAACUUAUUCCCAAGUGCAGAAAAGUUAGAUAACAUAAAACUGCUCAGAAAUGACUAGAAGCAACUUUUCUGGCUUUUUCCAAAUGCUAGGAAAUCGUGGAUCUGCCCACUAACUCCCUAGCAAUGCCCAUAUGGAUAGCAAUAAAGCUAGUCCCAUAAAGAAUACUUGAAUUGAUCAAAAGCAUUUCAGAUUAGAGAUCAACAGAAAGAGCUGCGUUGCUUUUUGUUUGUUUGUUUAUUUAUUUAUAUUCUGGAAAUUUCUCUGAUACAAAAAAUAUCUGACUUAUUUUUCAUUCAUCAAAUUGUGGACUGCUUCAUAUGAGAUACGAACUGCAUGACCUGCUGAUGGCGAAGUGCUGCUUCCAUGGAAGAUGCAGCUUUAAACAAUAAGAGAAAGCAUCAACCCUCUCCUGCCAUAUUUUGAACUUUGGAGUGUGCACAAGGAUGGAAAAAUACAGAAGGAUGGAAAAACACAAGGAGUGGUGGGACACAAUGCAAAGUGAGUCUGAGCUGCCUUUAACUUCAGCCUUUGCACUGUGCCAAUACACCAGGAAGAUGCAGUUUAUUCUACCAGGAAUGCUGAUAUUGCAAACACCUAUUUAAACACAGAAGUGUUGGAGGUUUGAACAUCUUUUAUGAAUACUACACCACUGUUUUAAGAAAAGACAAAUACAAGGAGGGAGAAAACAGAACCUCUGGGAUUUUUCUUUUUCCCUACAAAGUGCUAUGGGUGAAGGCUGUGGAGAAAAAUCUUCCCUGCCAGAAGCUGUGUACAGCAUGGGUUUCCCCAGUUCAGAUUUGAACCUCCCACCAGUCGUGUGACCUUCGGGCUGUGGGUGAGUCUGUGAUGACUUUCUUCUGUCUACCCAAAAGCUGCAUCCCUAAUGCAUAAUGUCUUCCCAGCAAUAUAAAAUAUCCCGGGUUGGGAUAUUCUAUGGAGAAACAGAUAUUCUGCUGUGAAAGACUCAAUGCAAUUGCAAUUUUUUGACAAAUGGAGUUUUUCUGAUCUUCCUGGGAGUUGUAGUGGCCAUAGCUGGUCUGAGUGCUCAGUGUUAUGAUGUGUUCUUCUGUGAUUGACUUGAAAUUUGUACCUGAGGGGUUUGGAGUAAGAGACUGAUGUUGGUAUUUCUUUCCUUAUGAGAUUUGGUGUUGCUCUUGUUCUUAGGAAAUCCUCACCUAGAGGCGAGAGUACCUUCAGAGAUCUAUUCCCUGCUGCUGAGCAUGGAAAUCUCAAUAACUAACUUUUUUGGAAGGGGUUCUGUUCAUAUGAGCUUUGCUUUCAUGUACUUUGGGAUUGUUUCCUGUAGUUCAGUGUUUCUGCAGUGAAGUGACAAUGCAAUCUAAGAGAUGGUCCAUCUCCCCACAGAACACCUUUCUCUACCUUUGUGCUUUCCUUUGGUCUCUAUAGUUUCCUAUUUUUUUUUUUUUUGGUAAUCUUUCAUCUUUCUCAUUUCAAGUGUCCACUAGUUUUGAUCCUUACCAAAGAGCUUAUUUUUAUUUCUCAACCCUUUUGGUCUCAGAUAAGGGGAUUGAUCUUAACACUUUGAAAUCAGCAGUCAUUUGACCAUGGGCUUUGGAGACAGUUAAGCUCCCGAGGACCAAAACAGUGAAUACAGAACAGAAGCAGCCUUGAUUUAAUAUUGUGAACCUAAUAAGCCUAAUCCUCUGCUCUCUGUUUUUUUUUUUUCUGCUUGGACAUGGCCUACUGUACAGCAUUUCAGGUUUGAGGGGCAUUGAGAGAAAUCACCGUCACUUUCCAGAGCAGACAUCAAAGGCAAACUCACUUUUCCCAUUGCUUUUUAUCUUCCUUCUAUUUCUGAUGCAUACUUCAUAUUUUUUCCAUGCUGCCGCUCCAAUUUUUGCCCACUUUUGAUUUCUCUAUUAACAUUAAUUAGGCUCAUGAGCUUGAUCACCAGGUGGGUUUUCCCCAAGCUUCCACUGCAAUACUUCCCAUCAGCAGCAGACUUGUAAGGGAAUUUUGUUAAGCUGCAGAUAGGAGCCUAAUGUUAUUGGAUACGGAGUGUUUCAGUGCUAAGUGUGUUUUAUAUCAGUUGAAUUUGCCAGGAAGCAUUAUUGGCUUGAUUAUUUUUAAGCAGACAGGCUCGAGGGCCCUUGACCAGCAUCGGGGGGCAAUGAGAGAAGAGGGCCGUUAGCCAGGGGAAUGAUUCAUACCUCUGGAGCUCACCAAGUGCUCGUGUGUCUCAGGGAAGUAGCUCUGCAUCUUCCAGCUGAGGAAAAUGCAGAGAAGGGGGGGAAAAAAAGCCCUAAAAAAAAAAAAAAGAAUGAAAGAAAGAAAGAAAAAGAGAAAAGUAAAUAAAUCCUUGGAUUCAUUUCUGGAGAAUCUCAGCGCAUGUAAAGUCAGCUGCUAGGAAGGAAGAUUGGCACACACCUUUUGGACAUUUUGUGCAUGGUUUUCCUGGGCAGGUUCUUCCAGCGUUAAGUUUUUCCUGUAUUGAAUGUUAAGUAGCAUAAAAUACGAGCUGUCACGGGGUGAGCUGCAGCUUUUGUAGCCUUUGUUUUGUGAUGAUUUGCAUAUUCAGAAUCUGCCUUGGGUCUUCUUGUUUUUAUCCUCCUUCUUUUAAAACUGCAUUUACCUGAAGAAGGGCUUCAUUCUGAGUGCACCAAAUAAGCGUUUUCUCUGCAGUUGACUUUAAUCCGACCAAAAGAAUGAACACUUGGAGCAGAAAACCUUCUUUGGGUCCUACAGGGCAUUAGAACAUCUCAGGUACUGGCUGCUGCUUUAAUAAAAGGAUAGGAUUUCCAUUUACUUCAGGCAGGCUUAAUGUAUUGUUCUUGUAGUGAGACAGUCAGAAUGAGUCAGGAGCCAAAGAAUACACUUUAUAGACACAAAUAAUCGUAAAUUCAGAAUGUCACCUUUAGGCAGAGGCAUUUUUAUUAUUGUUAGUGGAGCUGCUGAGUAGGUUUGAUGUUUUAUUCUCUUGAGUACUAAAUGUUCCAGAGUACCACAGCCCUAUCUUUAUCAGGCUCACAAGGAGGGAGCACAGCCAAACUUGCUUCCUAUACUUCUCUAUGAUUGAUAGCAGAUGGCAUGCUUUAAAAUAAACCUAUCCAUUAGCAGUCCUCAGUGUUUUUACUCAAGGCAUUUACAACUGUCUCACCCAGAAAACACAUUUGCUCCGCAAGCUCGCUUCAGUCUGCAACAGCUGUACAGGUGCAAAUCUUUCAUUAACUCUUAAACAGUGGUGAAAUAAAAGUUGCACUGUAUUUUAUUUUUAGUGGAGAGGUUGUUUCUCAAAGGAGGAGUGCAUUCUAUUAUUCUCCCUUUGCAUAUGGCAGAGGUUCAUGUUAACUGAUGCAAAGUCAGAAUAUUUUUCUUCUGUCCUCCUUCAAAUUUUUAGGGUGAGACAAAUGUGGAUGUUUGUAGGUGUACUCUAAAUGGCAAUACAAGGGGAUUGUAAGUGGGGGCUGGGAUUCCUGGGGUCGCCCAGCUCCUCACCUCAAACAGCCCUGUGGGGGGUUCCUUCAUGGUACCCCCACCACUGCUUCAUCCUGGGGCUACUUUUUUUCUGUUCAUUUGGAAAAUGCAGGGUCACACACACACACACAGAUAUGCAUUCAACCCGAUUCUGAGCUCCCUUCUCAGUAAAUACAUUACUAAAAUCUGUCCCUGUAUUCACUUUACUUUGCUUAGAUUUCUAUGCAGUAGCCACAGAGGAUAUUAAAAUUGGCCUGGCAUUCCUGCCAAUACAACGAACCCUCAAGCACCUCCCAAAACAUUAGUGCACCAGCAGAUAGACCUUUAAAAUAUUAGUAGCAAACCUUAAAUAUUAGCAUUUAGCAUUAAUAUUAGACAAGACCUUAUAAUAUUAGAGCCAGAUAAAACAGUAUUAGCAGGGGUAUAGGAGUCAUUAAGCAGAAUAACCAUCACUGACUAAAUGGAUGCUGAAACUUUUACAUGCAAACCAGUGUAGAUGAUAGGGACUUCAGAGAGACGAGAGGAUCCUUUCAUUUAAAAGGAGGUUGUAGAGACGAAGGUUAGGGAUUUGAAAGCUGGUAAAUAAAACAACACAGCGGGACAAGUGAUAUGGAAUGUGCCAUCUCGUUAGCCACAAUCACGUCCCGUGUUAUUUUUCUUAAGCUGAAAAGAUAAAACAAGCAGACAGGCAAUAUUCUGUUGCAAAUAAAUGGAAAUUGGGGCAUUUUUUUGUAUAAAUCUCGAGUUGCAGGAGGAAAAUACAAAUGCGUUCUCAGCACUGAAGGUCUAUGUAGGCUAACAGAGGUGCUACAGUAAUUUGGCAGGAUGGCGUGUGGCUCGCAUGCCCUUUUGCUGGCAUGAUGAGCAAAGUCUGGGGAACCUGAGCUUGGCACCAUGAAGGAGGGGUUGAAGCAGCCCAGGGUCUACAUAGAGCAGUGCUCCGGAGAGCAGCCAUCACCAUAGCUCAUGUCAGCUCGUCCCGCGAGCACCUGGAGGAUUUGGUGCUAAAUGAGAUGGGGGGAGAAAAACAAGGCCAGCUGUAGACAUAAGAACUUUAAGAGCAUCAGUGCUUGCUUCCAGCUAAUCUCUCCUGAUGACUCCUGUAAGCAGGCGAGGCUGGUCGGUGCUGUUAAUUAUUCAAAGCCCCGCACCAGUUUCAUAGCUGAGUGGUGUAAGAGGAUGUGUAGUGUCCCCAUUUCUUAGUCUGUCUGGGGGAAAGGCACGAAACGCAGCUUCUCCUGCCAUCCCUGCCUGCCAUCCCGCUUUACAGGUGGGAAAUGUGAGCCGGAGAGAGGCUGCAGCCAUCCCCAUCCCUUGGCCAUCUGGCAUUGUGAAACCUCACCUGUCUCUGUAGGGCCUGAUUUGCUGAGUGCAGGGAAGGCAUCAGGAGAGUCAUUCUGUAUCUUAACAUAAUGAAUGCACUGCUUUGAGGUAUUGUGCCCUACACUUUUGUGUGCAGAAUAAUCCAAAAGAUAUCCAAAAUAUAUGAUAUCUCCAUUGUUAAUGCUCCAUCAUAGGAAGAAAGGGAGGGAAGGGCACAUGCUUCAAGGUUUGCAUUACGUCCACAAUGUCCUCAGGCAGUACAAACAGCACGCUUUGAGAAUUACACAUAUUUUCUCCAUUUAUCACUUGCAUUAAGACAUAGAGUGGAAAAGGGGUGGCAGUGGAGUCAUAUGCAGCAUUAAAUACAUAUUCCUUAUGUUGUUUGCUGUCCCAAAGAGGCUGCCAAGGCAUUUUAGUACAUCUUACUGUAUGAUGCAAAGCAGUUGGAAAAAAGUAGAAAAAUAUCCAUAGCAAAAAAAAAAAAAAAAAAAAAAAAAAAAAAAGCAAUAAGAUCUCUUAGAUCUGUACUAGAAACAAGUACCAGUACAAUGCUGAUAUGUCAAUUACAUGCUUUAUCUACAUACAGCCAAUGUACCUGCCAUUGCAGCUUCUUUUAGUUCCAUUAGAGAAGGCAACAUGUAUUUUCUUAUGACUUUUGGAAUUGCUGAUUGACUUUUUUUUGUGAAAUUGAGUUUCUGUUUGGAGCCCAGAUCACACAGAGCUCCUUUAGCUUGGAGGUGGGAAGUGAAACCACUCAACUUGUGUUGCGCUUAGAGAUGACUUCUCUGUUAGCUUCUUUUGGUCCACUGGUGCUGUGGGGGUGGAGGUACCCAGACUGAAAUGAUUUGCAGCCUUCCAAAGGGGAAAAGUAACUGUGCAUGGAAUAACCGUGUGUAAAAUAGCAUCUGCAAUGCUCAGAGUCUGGUGUGUUUGGUUGCCACUGACCUCAGUGUGGCUAUUUCCAGGAGUCAGGGUGCACAGGUGCCUAAAUAUCUACAGGCAUUGGCAUGUACCAUCCUCCAGAGAGGCUAGGAAAGGUUUUCUUAUUUCAAUGAGAGCCACAUUCAGCCUCAAAAUUAAGCAUAUUCUUAAGUGCAUAUAUGAGCUGGGGGCCAUAGAACACAGCAUAUUAAGAUACCACACAUCACUGCAAAUUAUGUAGGAGCUAUACAGUAUAAUUCAAUUUAGUAAAAAAAAAAAAAAAAAGGUCCUUUUAUCCCCCCUUCAAACCUCUUUAUUUAUUAAUGAGCUAGAAAGAUGUGACGUUAUUAAGACAUGAACCAAUUUGCCCUGGAUGCCAUCCAGCACACCAGGAACCUGUGUUGCUCUGUAAUAGCCCUUUUUUCUGAAGGAAACACUAAGUCCCAGGCCCACCCCAAGCUGGUGAGUGCUGGAGGAGGGCCUAUGGCCUGCAGAAGGGGAGGGUGGAGAGGGGCCAUGCUUAAUCCCCAGUAGAUUUAGCCUUUUGGUGAGUAAGAUGGAUUUCUGAUGUUGGCCUCCAUGCCAUUCAUAGCAGUGUUCCCAGUAGUAAACUUGUGCCUGCACUAAAAAUCCCCCUCUCAUGCCCCCACUUCCUUGCCAAAACUAAGCUCAACUAAAAUAAAUCAUAUUUUAGGAAGCUAAUUGUGCAGCCAAAUAGCAGAAAGGUAUUGAAAAACUGUUGUGUGCCUAACAUUAAAUGAAUUUACAUUGGCAGUAGGGAGCAUGCAUAACAAAAAUAAAUACAGGGACAUGGCAAAAGUGUAAGCAGUGGAAUUUAAACAAAAAAAUGUAUGUAAUGCCAAACAUUGGGAAUGGUAUUCAGACUUACUGCAGAACUAAUAUUCUAUGCAGUCACUGCACACAAUUUUUUACAGUUAAAAUACAUUCUGAAUGAAGUUUGCUCUUUUAUCAGUUUAUUGUAUUUCUUGGAAAAUUGAAACGUGUCAGGAUAUGCAUUUUUCUCCCUGCUCCUGAAGUGUGUAUAGGUCCCUUCACCAACCUGUGGGCAAUACGUUAAGAAAAACAAAGGGGGAAAGCUCUGGCAUAGGCUGCCCUGUAGAGGGGUCACCGUCCCUAGAGGUGUUCCAGAACCGUGGGGGUGUGGCACUGAGGGAUGUGGUCAGUGGACAUGGUGGGGGUGGGUUGGUGUUGGGCUUGGGGAUCUUAGUGCUCAUUUCCAACUUUAAUGAUUCUGUGAAAAAAAUAAAAUGAGGAAGAAAAAAAAAACCCAAACAGUUUUUGGAGAAGAUUUUAGAAGUUUCCUGAUGGAUCGGCAUCCUUGAGAUUAAACAUUCCCAUAUGUAGGUUGACAUUUGAAAAUGUAAGUCUUAUGAAAGAUAAGAUGGAAAUUAUGAGAAAUGCAGCCUUAAAUAUUUGGAAGCAUGACUUCCUGGUUUGCAUGGCAGUUGGCAAAACUUUCAGGGGAAAGAUGCAUGUGGUAUAGGGCACUCAUUUGCCUAAAAGUUUCCUCCUAUCACCUAAUGUUUUGGUGCUCAUCUCUUCCACACCUUUGGAGGAGAGCUGCAGCAUCCUCUCUGCGGUGCUUUCAACCCCUCAGACAGAUGUUUUAGAUCAAUUGCUCGAAACGGAUCAGUUUAGCAGUCAGAAAACACUGUCAGAAAAGGUUUGUGGUAGAGAAGACAAAACUGUGAAAUGAAAUUGAACUUUUAUCCCCAUUUGGAUGGGAACUGUGCGUGGCUGGAGAUCCCAUGAGGAUGAACACAGUGACCUAUCGUGCUUUGAAAAACCAAACAGAUGACAGGGCUCAUCUGCAGCCAUCAAGCAACAGCAGCUUCUGAGAAAUGGUGUGACCACUAUCAUGCAGUGCAGCAGGAACUAAGGGAAAGAUAAUCAUGGGAAAGAGGAAGGUCCUCCUGCAGCAAGGCAAGAUGAUGGUGAUCUCCUGCCAGGCUACAAGUAGCACUGCUGCCCUUGCUGUGAAGGUGUGACAACACAAGGCAUGCCGUUGCUGCUGGACAUUGUUUGAGCCAUGAUUAAUGUGCCAGCAGUAAUGGGUGUCAGCAUUGUCUGGCUGCAACUGGCACACCUUAUUUCUGAGAACUCAGGGUACGGAGGCUGCUGUGGUCACUGUGGCAACCAUGAGCCCUUCAACAAGACAGAGAGAUCUCAACCCAAACCGCUAUCUGUCUGCCUCUCCCUGGGUAUGUGUCAGCACGAAUCUCCAAGUGUACUUUCUUUCCCUUAGAAGGUGUUGUGUGCUGUGUCCCGUGGUGACCUGCACAUAUGCUGAGCUGGAACUCUGCUUGGCACCAUUCCUCAGCCUAUCCAUGUUGCAGUGCAAUCGUAAUAUCAUGAGAUGGCUUGGGUUGGAAGCGACCAUAAAGAUCACAUAGUUCCAACCCCUUGCCGUGGGCUAUGUGCCCCCUACCAGCUCAGGCUGCCCACGGCUCCAACCAACCUGGCCUUGAGCACCUCCAGGGAUGGGGCAUUGUCAUGUCUCCAAUGGCAAAUGUGUUCCUAUCAUGGACUGUGCCUCUGCCCCUCCAUCACUACUGUGCCCUGCAUGCCUGUGCCACUUGCUUUUUGGUCGCAUUGUACUUUGUUUCAAGAUGUUUUGCAGCAUGUUGCCUUUGCCUGCUUGCCUCCCUCCGUCUCCGUGCUGGAUGAGUUUGCAUUGUGUGGUGUUUUCCUCUUCAUUUAUUGCAAACAAAUCUGGUCUCUGCCAUUUGUUUACUCUUAUACUCUGUCUUUAUGCCUUGGUAUGCAUUUUUAAUUAGAUGCGCUUCAGUUCUUUCGCUGCUUGUUAACACUUUCGGAUGGAAAGUGCGGUCCCCACCAGCUCUGCUAGUAUUCUCUGUGUGGAGGAAAUGCAGAUUUGUUUCUCCUGCCCCUGAUUAUCAUCCAGUACCAAGACUCGGGCCCCAGCCAGCCUGCCUGCUCAGACCCUAUGUUCCUACUGGGGAUGUUAAGAUGGUUGCCCCUUCUCAGCCAGUGUAAUUGAGGGUGCUUUACUCCAAAAUACUCUGCAUACAGAGAAGGAGUGUUUGGGCUGUUUGCUUGGACUGUUUUCAGUCCUCGUCAGCUCCAGUGUGGAUGUGUGACAUAGAGGAGUCCUGGGCAGAGCCCGCGGUGUGUGCAAAUCAGCUGCGUGCUGUCCCAAGCCCUUCUGCACACUAUGAUCAGGAGCAUCCUGGGGAUGUUGGCCACAGAAUAAACAGAGGAUGGAUGGGCCUGGAUAAGGAUACUGAAACCCCAAGCACAAGGCAGUAUUCACAAAAAGGCAUCUUUCUUGAGUGCCACUAUUGAUAAAGCAUCAUUUCUUUUUCUUAAAAAUAGUGUGAGCCCAUUUGUGCUUGUUCUAUUUUGUUCUGCUUCUGUAUCUGACUCAUGCCAUGGGCAGGGGCCUUCACCCUCCCUAGUGCUCUCCUAGACCACCAGCUUUCUGGAGAUGGUGUGGGAACUGAGAUGGAAAAUCUUGACCCCACUCCACCCUUCCCUUCCAGUUUGCCUGCCCUGCUGAAGCAUUCACUCACCUCCCUGUUUUGCCAGAAUUCGUGUGUUCACCAGAAUUUAAGUUCCUGAGAGGGAUGGCAGGACUGAAAAGAGGUGAAAAUGUCUCUUCCCAUCUCUGAGAGUGUUCCCUGACCCGACUCUCUGACUGGGGGCGAGGUUGCCAGAGGUCAAUAUCCACUUCAGUGAGUAGAGAGAUCGAUAUCUGCUGAAGCCAAUGCCCAGGAUUGUUUCCUCUUCCUUGCCAGUGCUAUAUUUUAUAGAGAACAGCCAAGAAAUAUUUCUCCUCCCUUCUAAGGAGAAGAAGGGGGAGGAAAAAAAAGAAAGAAAAAAAUGGAGAAAAAGAAAAAAGCUUUGUCUUCAUACUUUCUUCCCCCAGGAGGGCAUUGCAUUUAGCCUCUGCUCUGCUUUUUGUUAUCCAUUUGCAUGGCACGAUGUUUGCUUUGGCCAAUAGGGCAGCGCUGGCUCCUUGACUGGGGUGGGGUUCUGCCGGUACCCAGCGGUGUGCAGAAUGGGGACAUUCAGCCCUCAGCCCUAGGUAUUUUGGGGAUGCUGGGAUGCAGAGGACAUCCCAGAUGGUGCGGUUUCAUGGGGAGUGCCAUGGUGGUGGGAGCAAAGUGCUCAGUGCUGAGCCUGAGUACUCCAUGGAGCCACUCCAUGGAGCAACAUCGUGUUGGCAGGAGGAUGAGGUGUAUGAGCUAAUAGGGCUUUUCCAUUUUAAUGUCUAUUCAAAAAUGACUCUUGGUUGCUGUUCUCAAACUCAGCACCAACCGUUCCUUACACCACACAUCAGAUCUUUCUUUCUUUUCUGCCCUUUGCUUCAUGGAGAAGGCUUUAAAGCAAACAAACACCAAACUAUGAGAAACCAAGGGAAGAUGCAGACUGGCCCACUCGUUAGUGCCGGAGUGUGGAAACUAUGAAGACUUCUUUUUUUAUUACCAAUGCUGGAAAGCACAGUCACCGAGUGGGCUGGAAUACAAGUUAUGCUACACGCAGUAGUUAAAAAAACCUGCAAAAAUGGGUGUAACCCGUGGCUGUGGUACAACUGGCCUUUCAGCCCCCACUUGAGAUUCGUCCAUCCCAGGGGGAAACUGUGGUUUGGAAGAACAGUGUACAUUUAAUUUCACUCGGAGAACUUAUUGGAGUUGGCACUUCAAGAAAGACUCUGAAGUAUAUUUUUUGUCAUGAUGAGUGGCCCCCUCACCACUGCAUUUGAUUGUGUUGGAAGCAGAAAAGUUAAAUUCUUAUAAAAUGAUGAUUUACAAUCCCUGAUGAUCCAGGUAGGGCGCGCGGAUUGCGCCAGCGUGGUUAUGGGACUCCAAUCUCAUCCUCUCUCAUUGCUGUGAGAAAAUAAAACCGAAAUGUAAAAAAGCUGAAAACACAUCCUCUGAUGGCUCGGGGAAUUUUCUUACUCAUACGUUAUCUUUCCUAGUAGUUUAAGUUAUUUUGUCUCCACUAAAACCCAAAGCAAAACACUGCCCUGACACUUUCCCCUUGAUUUCUGAUCUGCGGCAGCCAAAUUUAUUUUUAUCUCGUGUCGUCUUUUCCCCCAUGGUUAUGCAAAUCCUCGGAAUAAGGGGCAAGGGGAAAAGCUAAUUUUAAAGCCAGUAAAUUCCAGUGGGAGAUUUCUUCAGUCGCUCCAAGCGGGACUAUCCUGGGUGCUGUUGCAGAGCUGUGGCUACCUCCAAAUAACACAGGGGUAGGUGCCAAGUGGGGAGGCUGAAUAUUUUCCUUGUAGACACAUAGCUUUGCCCACAGGACUGAAGUCUCUUGCCUUAAUGCUGCAUUAAGCUUCUCUGGAAGUACAAAGCUGACUUAGGAGGCAUGUGUUGAUGAAAUGUACCUCAUUGCAAUCGGCUGCUGAGUAGAACCUCGACAUGGAGGGGUUUGGCAAUGGGUGAAGGUGGGGCUCAUCAGAACUAUCUUCAGGAAAGUGUGGGGCAUUGACACCUCAUUUCUUAUUCCAGCAAACUUUCUCUGUUUUGGCUAUCACGUUCUAUAUUUUGAUAUACUUUUAGUCUUUCUUUCUCACUCUCUUUUUUUUCCCCUCCUGAACAGCGGAUGUAUUUUUAAAUAAUAAAUUCCAUUUUCUUCUUCAUUUCUCUAUCUUUUUCCCCUUAAUGCAAGCUUUACUCAAAUCUGUUUAAAUCCACAUUUAAAUCUAAUGUACAGUAAGAGAUACUCCACGAUUUUCCAGGCUGAAAAAUCCAGGAGUGUUCACACUGGGAUCUGCUUUGUGAGCAAACUCAAGUGUGUAUGCAAGUGUUGGAGCUGUAGUCUGUAGUUCAGUUUUACUGAAAGUACUGGAGGCAAUCAGAGUAUAUGGCAAGCAUAACGGCUUCUAAACAGCACUGUGCUCUUGUUCACAGUGCUGGUGCUGGGUUAGUUGAUGCAAUUCAUGGUCAAUGUCUGGAAUCACAAUCAGAUCCUCUUUGCUCCCCCUUUGAGUGCCGUUGCAAUACUGCAGCAAAUUAACCAGAGACUGCUGUGGGGCUGAAGUUUCUGUAUCCAGCAAAACUCAUGAGCCCCUCCUGGUGUGAUGUGUCAAGGGGAUGUAAGCAUAUCUGUAAAUGCUGUGUGGUUUGGGAAGUGUUUAAAUACCCAUGGAGGCCUUUCUCUGUUCUGGGGAAGGGAAGAUGAGGAUGUGAAUACUGAUGGAAAUAAUUUAGGUGCAAGGUCCCAGGUUUGGAAAAUUUGGCCCAUAAAAUGCAUGCACUAGGGGUGCUUGUGGUUGCAUAAGAUAACAAAAUGCACAAGUCAUGUGGAUUAAUCUCUCGAGUUACUGCAGGGGCAUAUUGUGUUCAUGUUCGUGUAGCCUGAUUAAGCUGCGUAUGAAUUUACAUCCCAGCCUUGCAGCCUAAUAAACCUAUAUGGUUUAAAAUGCACGGCGGGGGCUUUGUGCGUAAAUUCUGCUCUCACGAAGCAUGGUGUGCACGUCUGACUCUUCUUAGAAAGAGCUGAGCGCGUCCCAUUCCGUCUGCAAAUGAGUGUCUGAAUGCCAAAAUAAGUAGGAUAAAUAAUUUGCUUGAAAUAUGUGUUUGGGAGCUUUCAACCUAGAUGCUCUCUUCCAAACGCUCAGCUCUUCAUUUGCAAAUUCUCCGGUUUGUUCAAACUUUUGGACUCCAUUUGAUCUGGCUGGAAAUGAGAGCACAUCAGGCCUCGUACGUAAUCAGAAAAUGUCGUGUGAAAAACGAAGACUGCUGGGAGUAGCAUCUUUGUGGGAUUCCAGCUAAACCAAACUCGUUCGGUGCUGCUCCAGCCCUGAGCAAACCGGCCUCAUGUCUGCAUGUGCAGCCUGGGUUACUCCUGAGAGCGGCUCCGGGAAAGAGUUAAGCCUGUUCUCCUCUCCUAGUUGGCAGAAAGUUUGCAGUUUAAAAUUACAUACUGACUCUGGUGUAGAGACACAAGAAAUUAUAGAGCAGACACUGUCCAGGACAACGUAUAAUUUAAAAUGUACUAAAGAAUGUAUACCACAUGGCAAAGUAAGUGAAGUGCUUCUUCAAAUAUAAGUGUUUUGCAUAGAAAGGCUGUAAUUAUCCACUCCUAGGGAAAUGUUUGCAUUCAUUCUAAAUCAAUAUUUACUAUUCAUCUCUUGUGUUCAACAAAACAAGGAUUUAACAUUUUUUUGUUUUAAUGAGGUACUAAAACUACAAUAAUGCUACAGUGUAAUUGUCUUGAUACAAAAUAUUGCUAAAUUGUGUUGCUAUUUCGGGAGCGAGCAGUUUUUAAAAGGAGGGGGUAUCCCUGUUUGUGCCAUGUUCCUGCAGUAACACAAUCCAAGCUCAGCCAAGCAGGGCGGCUCACCACUUCCAAAGCGGAGUUAAGCCGCCUCUCUGUUAAGGCCCUUAACUGGGAUCAUUCGGGUGAGUCCUCUGUCUCCCCCCGAAAACAUCAACCUCUUUAUAAUGAUUCCUUUUCAGCUGGCGUCUCGACAACAAGCAGAAGAAUGCCAUUUCUGUUUCGGGUUUAAGGUUGUUUUCUCCCCUCAGCAUCCUUCAGAGAGGCAGCAAGAGCUGAGCGGGUGGUAAUUGGGCUGCAGCCACCCCUGCACGCUGCUCCGAACCUGUUGGUGCAAAUGGGGUUGCCUGAACUUCACCUUCCAGGAAGAAUUUGGGGAUGUUCUGUAGAACGGUGCCAGAGCUCUGUCCUUUAUCUUUUUUUUUUUUUUUUUUUUUUUUUUUAAUGCAUUUUUAUGCAUUUCCUGGGCACUGCACAGUGUUGAAGCGGCCCUAAAAUCAUACAGGGGCAAGCAGUCCUCUCUGCAGGUGAGAGUAUGCUGGUGAAGUAAGAGCACGUGAGGAGGGGCAGAGCUUUUGGAGGAGCACCACUUUUAAUCACAGCCUUGCAUCUCUGCUGUGCUGUGAUUAAGAGGAUGCCCUUGCACCAAGCUCUUUCUCCUUGAAUUUACCUGACAUGUCUUAAGAGAGGUAUCUCUCCAACCACUCUAACUUCAAAAAAGAGAAACCACACCCCAUGAGCAUGUACUUCUGGCAUUGAUGUGGCUCCACGUGAAUCAAAUCAUAUAACUGGAAAGACUUUGUUUGGAAAAGCCUUUAAAAUCCUUAAAAAAAAAAAACAAAAAAAAAACAUUACUUUUUAUGCUUACGCUCUACCCACCAGGCUCUGCCCUCCUUUUCCCAACACUAAAUGCUUCCACUUCUGCUGCUAGAAAUCAUGGUACAAAUGUGAGCUCUUGAGUGAAUUUCAUUCUUCUGUUCAAGAAGAUAGCUUCGUUUUCUUUGUUUCUUACAAAAGAAAAAAAAAAUCUGAAGUCAUUCUUCCAAAAAAAAUCGUGCACAUAAAUAGGGUGAAUAGCCCUGAGAGAAGAGUGCUCUCUUUCUCUAGCAAACGUUAUUGAAGCUGGUGUUUUAAUUCUCCAGAUAUCUCUUGGUGUUCAGGGUAACAAAAGGCUGUGUAGUGCCUAAUCAUUCAGCAGCGAUCCAGGAAAAAGCAGAAGGUUAAGAGCAAGUUCCUAAAGUCUGUAAAAUCAAUGGGACGCUGGAAAGGGAACUGAAGUGUACCAGAAGGGACCUCUUGAGGGUCAUUAAAAAAAGCAGAAACUGAUUAUGAACAGAGCUUUUACCCAAAGAACUGGAGGGGGCCAGCAAAACCAUUCUGCUGCACUCCAGUUAAAUGUCUAAUAGUGGUGACAUUUUCUACACAGCCCAUAAAGGAUAAUGAAGAUGGCUUUGAUAGCUUUCAAGAUAGUUGUUCUUGUCAGUGUUCACAAAAACAUGACAUGAGCAUGCGCUAAGAGCAUGCGGGUUGAGGUGAUUGCACCAAGACUGUGAAAGGGAAGAUGGCAACCCAAUAUUGGGUCUUCCACCUUUGUAUUACGCCCUAUUACACAAGAGAAAAAAAUUGUGUCAGCCUAAAAAUGCAAUGGAAGUGGCAACAGUGACAAAGCUCAGUGUUGUGCUUAACCAACAUGGUACCUCACCUUGGUGUGGUGGUUAUGUGCAGAGAGGUAGCAAUGUUGGGCGAUCUCACAAACAUCAGCCUAGAUUCUCUCUCGCUCCAAAGCAGAUGAGAAAUAAGAUUUUGAUCUAAAGCUUAUCAAAAUCCCUCAUCGUCAGCAAAGUUUGGAUCAGCACCUCAUAACUUUCUGCUCAUUUUCUGUGCUGGGAAAAAGCAACCUGCAGGAAGUCUGUCCCAUGGCAUGUUUGUGCUAUUCCUGUUUCUGACCUCAAUCUUCUGUGAGAUUUUGGUGAAUUGCAGUUUUACUAUGAUGUACGGGAACAGUUAAAUCAUGGCCUGAACCUCUGAUUGAUCAUCUGAGGCGAGCACCAAGUCAGCUGCAGGGGCACAGGUGAACGCAAUUUCACCUGAGUGACUGGAAGGGGUGGAGCCUGGCUGCACCCCUCCUAGACCCCAUUUAAGGGCUGACUCCCAAGGAGGAUGGAUAUCUAUCUGGAGAUCCUUCCUCUUGGAGCCCUUCUAUGAGCCCAGGAUGCGGGUAAGAUCUUUAUUUCAUUUCUGCUUUGUAAUGCGAUAAUCUCUCUGGUCCAAUAUCUGUAUACCUGUUUGCCAUAUGCUAUGAUUUAUUUUCCAAAAAAAAAAAAAAAAAAAAAGAAAAAGGAAAAUUAGGGUAAACUCGCAUAUCUUACUGGAAUGCUCUAAAAAAAUAUUUGUUAGAAAAUAUUUGAAAUAUCAGUGGGAUGAUGCUUUAGUUCGGGGUGAUAUUGUUCAUCUUAAAAAAUAAGUAGCUAGUUCGUCUUCAGUUUUGGUCUACAGUGAAGAUGUGUUGGAAAAAAUAACAGAAACUUAGAGUAAAAAUCAACUUUGAGUUCUUUGUACUUCAGAGGAAGCAAACUUUUUUUAUAGAAAUAGAUAUUCACAGGGAUGAAUUGCAUGUGAGUCUGUUUACUAGUGGAAAAGCUGAAUUGUGAAACUUCUGUGUCACUGCUCUGUGAUUCCAACUAUCUUCAAUUAAGAGAAAAAAAAUGCAGGAAAAUCAGGUGGAAGGAAUGCAUGGAAAUUGAAGUCAAAGAAAAUAUUUGUUGUGGCCUUGGUAAAGUGAAUUUUCUAAGCUGAAGUAGCUUUUAAGCAAUUAACAUCUGCUGAGUGAAAUUACCGAGUGACAUGCAGCCCCAGAUGGAGGACUUGAACAGCCAGUGACCAUCUGGAUUUUGGUCUUUGCACAGAGCACGCUCUGUUCUGGCUCUCACCUGGCCUGUGGACAGCCCUCUAUCUGCCUCUCCUGCCACCGUCAGCCUUGAGUCAUGGUGGGGAGACCUGCAGGGAUGGUUCCUCUGCUCACAUCAACUCCAAAGAUACUCGAAUUCCCCAGAGAUAUAAUCACUGAUGACUUUGACCUUUGAGUUGUUGCCUUGACCCAGUUUUCCAAAAGGAGAAAAACUUACUGGGAUAAAAUCCACCUUUGAGCCAUAAGGGUCUUGAUACACAAUGGUUUCCAAUGAAACAUAUGGUGUGGGAGUCUUGGCAUCUGAAAUGCCAAGAAAAUCAGAUCUUAAAGAGAGAAUUUUGUCAGCAGGCUUUCAUAUUAAAAAAAAAAAAAAUAUAUAUAUAUAUAUAUAAAAUAUAUAUAUUAAUACAAUUACCUUCCUUAGAAGGUGUAAAAGAUGUCAGGCCCAACCACAGGGACAAUUCACUGACAAAAUUCAGUUUUUAAAGUGAAACUAUAGUUUUUUUUUAAAUUCAAUGAAUAAAAAUCAUCUGACAAAGAGUUUUUGACUACUCUGUAUCUAAAAAUGAGCCAGCUUCAUUUAGUCUAUUUAAAAAUUGUGUAUUCAUACUGCUUGUAUGCCAAGUUCAGCAUGAUGGAAAUGAAAAUGAUUGAGGUAUAAACCCUUGGAAAACAGGGUUUAUAAUGGAAACAGUAAUUGACUUCUAACUACCGCAUCAAAAAUACAAUACUAUAAUACAAAGCCUAGCUCUUGGGAUCUCAGCUCCCUUCUAACCUCAGGUUGGCAGAAGAACACCUCACCACAAAGCUAACUAAUGUUUAUAGCUUGUUUUUUUUCUCUUGCAAAAGGAACAUGGCAAGUGAAGAAAAUUUAUAGGAACAAAGCAAAGUUGGCCAACAGUUCAAAUGUUCUCUCUUGUUAGCAACAACAUUCUUCUUCCCUGGAUGAAUGCUGUAUUUUGGCUGAUAACUUUAAUCAUGAAACUUGAGUCAGAACUGAGCCUUACUCUCAGCGUUAGAAAUAGUUCAACUGUUCCUCCGAAGUUCACGCACUUGGUUAUCCUAAAAGGAGAAGAUUAAAAAAAUGAAAUUUUUACAGCUGUUGAUUUUUCCCUUUCCCUGUAUGGCCAUGAAUAGCACAACAGGAAGGAGAGGAGAGAUGGCUGUGGUAAUGGAACAAAGUAGAUUUAUUGAUCUCAUUAAUGAUGCUUACCCAAGAUAGUCAUCUUUGCUUAGACUGAGCUUAGGUGCCAUUUUUGCUGCUAAUUAUGAUUGUGAAGACAUCAUGACAUCUUGGAUUAGAGUGAAAGUAGUGGUACUAAUUCUCAUUAGGAGCUGAAAACCAUGGAGGACCAGGAAUUUCAACAGGGGAACCAGCACUCAGCUAUGGCUGAAUAAGAUAGACCCUUCUAUGGAUGUGUGAAUUAAAAAUGAGUACUCUAGGAUCAGUAUGCACUUAAUAGAAGAAGAAAGAAAGACAAAUUCUACUGAGAUCUUUGUGCCUGCAGUACUUCAACAAUUCUUGCUACUUUAUGUAUUAUUAUUUUAUUAAGUUCAUAUUUUCACAGGUAAUGAAGAAAAACAGAGAAUGCAGGAGCACUUUGUGUCCAUAAAUGACUUUAGUUCAGCUACAGAUGAAGAAAAAAAGUAAUUACUUCUAUUUUCUUUAGGUAUUGUUGAAGGUAUACCGCUAUAAUCUCAGAUUUUUUUAUGUACCUGCACCUUCGCUUCUGCCAGAAUUACUUGCUGCAUUCAUCUAGCUGCAGAGAGACUCUGCUGAAGGAAAGAUUGCACGCAAGGACCUCAAUUCAAUGCCAGGAGACGUGCCUUAAUCUCUGGCUCACAGCCUUGUCAAAUGCUGCAGUAAAGAACUGGCAAGCUCAGUGCUGCUAAUGGAUUGAAAUCUCCACCAGAGAUAUGCUGUGCAACCUCAGCUUGCCUUUUCUAUGAGCAGCUGAAAGACAUUGCUAAGCAGAAUUUACCCAUUUGCAAUGGCAUUUUGAGCCCAAGCGGGCCUUGGGCAGGGUGCAAAGAGGGAUGCACCAUUACAGUGUGGUUCACAGUAACUUGUAUUGCAACCUGAUGUUUUUCAGAAUUUGUGAAUCUUUACAGUAAUUUGUAUUGCAACCCAAAAUCUGUGAAUUUUAAGCUCAGGGGAAAAAAAGAAAAAAGAGAGGUGGG
ensembl:lncRNA